AAAAAAUGGAAAAGCCGGUACAAGCGUAUAGCAGUCAUGCAGGCAAAACCGCAUGAAAAAUGUAAAGCGUUAUGUGGAUCGAACAUUAGUAGAGAAGCGUGUGAGCCAGCUGCCAAGAAAAGCCGCUAUUGUUUCAUAAGUACCCGUACCGUAAACCGACACAGGUGGAUGAGGAGAGAAUCCUAAGGCCGGCGGGAGAAGUGUUGUUAAGGAACUCGGCAAAAUGACUCCGUAACUUCGGGAGAAGGAGUGCCACAGAGAUGUGGCCGCAGAGAAAUGGCCCAAGCAACUGUUUAGCAAAAACACAGGUCUAUGCAAAACCGAAAGGUGAGGUAUAUGGGCUGACGCCUGCCCGGUGCUGGAAGGUUAAGAGGAGAGGUUAGAGCAAUCGAAGCUUUGAAUUUAAGCCCCAGUAAACGGCGGCCGUAACGAUAACGGUCCUAAGGUAGCGAAAUUCCUUGUCGGGUAAGUUCCGACCCGCACGAAAGGCGUAAUGAUUUGGGCACUGUCUCAACAACACACCCGGUGAAAUUGAAAUACCAGUGAAGAUGCUGGUUACCUGCGCCAGGACGGAAAGACCCCAUGGAGCUUUACUCCAGUUUGAUACUGGGAUUCGGUACUGUCUGUACAGGAUAGGUGGGAGGCUAGGAAAUGGUGACGCCAGUUGCCAUGGAGCCAACCUUGGGAUACCACCCUUACAGUACUGGGUUUCUAACCUGCAGCCGUAACCCGGCUGGGGGACAAUGUCUGACGGGGAGUUUGACUGGGGCGGUCGCCUCCGAAAGAGUAUCGGAGGCGCUCAAAGGUUCCCUCAGAACGGUUGGAAACCGUUCGAAGAGUGCAAAGGCAGAAGGGAGCUUGACUGCGACACCGACGGGUGGAGCAGAUACGAAAGUAGGACUUAGUGAUCCGGUGGUAUAAAGUGGGAUUGCCAUCGCUCAACGGAUAAAAGCUACCCUGGGGAUAACAGGCUUAUCACUCCCAAGAGUUCACAUCGACGGAGUGGUUUGGCACCUCGAUGUCGGCUCAUCGCAUCCUGGAGCUGUAGCAGGUUCCAAGGGUUGGGCUGUUCGCCCAUUAAAGCGGUACGCGAGCUGGGUUCAGAACGUCGUGAGACAGUUCGGUCCCUAUCCGGCGUGGGCGUAGGAUAUUUGAGAGGAGCUGUCCUUAGUACGAGAGGACCGGGAUGGACAAACCUCUGGUGUAUCUGUUGUUUUACCAAAGGCAUGGCAGAGUAGCCAAGUUUGGCAGGGAUAAACGCUGAAGGCAUCUAAGCGUGAAGCCCCCCUCAAGAUAAGAUAUCCCAUCUUCGGAGUAAGACCCCUUGAAGACUACAAGGUUGAUAGGCUUCAGGUGUAAGUGCGGUAACGCACUCAGCUGAGAAGUACUAAUAGGUCGAGGACUUAUC
rnacentral:rRNA from 1 species